CUCCACCAGCAAAGGCCCCAGUGAACGUCUACAAUGGAGGACUUAAUUCUAGUAGGAAGACUGGUGUCCCUGCAUCUACAGGGGCUGCCUGGAUAGCAGUAAUAUGGAAUAUACAAGCAUUGGACAAAGCUGAAACUCGGUAUGGAUUAGCGGUAACUUAAAUAUGCCUUUUUGAAGGAGGGUGGAUAUGUCUAGGUGCAGCAGAUACUGACUCGUGGCUGAUAAGACCACCUUAGAUUGAAAUGGAUUUUUUCCUGUCACUGGCCUUCUUGGCCAAGUAUCUUCAAUGGCAUAGGCUCACCCUGAUCUUCAGAAUGUUGUAGGAUCAUCUUCUCCAAGGUUCCUUGAUGUGAAGUGGAUAUGAACUGGCUAUGAAGUUAAGGUCUUUGGGUCUUGCUAAGAUUCUCCCGUAAAGUGGCUGAAAGAAAAAUAAAAGGUCUUGAGGUGUGAUGCAUUGGUCAACAUGAUGGGAAUGAACCCUUAUGUAAAUGCACCCUUGAGCCUUCUGAUAGACAGAACUCCUCCCAAUGUAGUGGAGGACCAGGAUGUAUGGCGACUUGUCUAAGGAAGGGCACUGGCUUGCUCCUGAGUAGGGAGUUCCAGAUGAAAGCCUAAGACUUAAGUUAUGGAAAUUAAUUUAUUUCAAGAUCUUGCUGUACUUUUAUACCAAUAAAUUAAAUUUUAUA